GACGUAGGGCGCGAGCGUUGUCCGGAUUUAUUGGGCGUAAAGAGCUCGUAGGCGGCUCGUUGCGUCGGCUGUGAAAAAACCCGCAGCUCAACUGUGGGCUUGCAGCUGAUACGGGGCGGGCUGGGGAUUCGGUAGGGGAGACUGGAAUUCCUGGUGUAGCGGUGAAAUGCGCAGAUAUCAGGGAGGGAAACACCCGGUGGGCGAAAGGGCGGGGGUC
rnacentral:rRNA from 1 species